CGGAAGUAUGAUCAGUCAUUAGCUGAAGUAAUAGAUACAUUUUGAUAUUGUAGAAAAGGCCUUGGAUAGAAGAAAUUCGAAAAGACUAUCAAUCAGAGAGGAAACAGAGGAAACAGUGAAUAACGUCCAACAACUGGAGAUGGAGGCACUUUGGCCAUGCUCAUCACCAACUUGGAACACACAUCGACAGUCACAACUCCGCAGAGCAGGAAAG